CACAAUGGGCGCAAGCCUGAUGCAGCCAUGCCGCGUGUGUGAAGAAGGCCUUCGGGUUGUAAAGCACUUUCAGUAGGGAGGAAGGUAGUGUAGUUAACACCUGCACUAUUUGACGUUACCUACAGAAGAAGCACCGGCUAACUCCGUGCCAGCAGCCGCGGUAAUACGGAGGGUGCGAGCGUUAAUCGGAAUUACUGGGCGUAAAGCGCAUGCAGGCGGCCUGUUAAGUCAGAUGUGAAAGCCCGGGGCUUAACCUCGGAAUUGCAUUUGAAACUGGCAGGCUAGAGUCUUGUAGAGGGGGUAGAAUUUCAGGUGUAGCGGUGAAAUGCGUAGAGAUCUGAAGGAAUACCAGUGGCGAAGGCGGCCCCCUGGACAAAGACUGACGCUCAGAUGCGAAAGCGUGGGGAGCAAACAGGAUUAGAUACCCUGGUAG
rnacentral:rRNA from 1 species